AUACGAAAGGUGCAAGCGUUGUUCGGAUUUACUGGGCGUAAAGAGAUCGUAGGUGGUUUAUUAAGUCGGAUGUGAAAUCCCGGGGCUCAACCUCGGAACUGCAUUCGAUACUGGUAGACUAGAGUUUGGGAGGGGUAAGCGGAAUUCCGUGUGUAGCAGUGAAAUGCGUAGAUAUACGGAGGAACACCUGAGGCGAAGGCGGCUUACUGGACCAAUACUGACACUGAGGAUCGAAAGCGUGGGUAGCAAACAGGAUUAGAAACCCUAGUAGUCC
rnacentral:rRNA from 1 species